AACGAACGCUGGCGGCAUGCCUAACACAUGCAAGUCGAACGAUGCUUUCGGGCAUAGUGGCGCACGGGUGCGUAACGCGUGGGAAUCUGCCCUUGGGUUCGGAAUAACAGUGAGAAAUUGCUGCUAAUACCGGAUGAUGUCUUCGGACCAAAGAUUUAUCGCCCAGGGAUGAGCCCGCGUAGGAUUAGCUAGUUGGUAGGGUAAUGGCCUACCAAGGCGACGAUCCUUAGCUGGUCUGAGAGGAUGAUCAGCCACACUGGGACUGAGACACGGCCCAGACUCCUACGGGAGGCAGCAGUGGGGAAUAUUGGACAAUGGGCGCAAGCCUGAUCCAGCAAUGCCGCGUGAGUGAUGAAGGCCUUAGGGUUGUAAAGCUCUUUUACCCGGGAUGAUAAUGACAGUACCGGGAGAAUAAGCUCCGGCUAACUCCGUG
rnacentral:rRNA from 1 species